rnacentral:lncRNA from 1 species
GAAAGGUACGUCUAUGUAUAUAUAUAUAUUUAUUAUAUUAAUAAAUUUAGAAACCUAUUUUUUUUUAUAAUUUCAGCAAAUUUCUGAGAUAAAUACCGCGAACCGAGUGAAUCAAAUGACACAUCACGCUGGUUCAAAAGGAUUAGCGCAACGACGUCAUGAAUUGGUAAUUUAUUUAUAAUUUGUAUCUAUUUUUUUUUAUAUAUUAAUGAAUUAUGUGAAUAUAGAUGCAACAAGGAAGGAGUGAAGUCGAAGUUUGGUCAGAGACUUUACAAAUGACAUAUAAAGGAAGCG